GGCGCGUUCGCUCAGUUGGUAGAGCAGUUGACUUUUAAUCAAUUGGUCGCAGGUUCGAAUCCUGCACGACCCACCA
rnacentral:tRNA from 1 species